rnacentral:rRNA from 1 species
AGCGAACGCUGGCGGCAGGCCUAGCACAUGCAAGUCGAACGAACCUUUCGGGGUUAGUGGCGGACGGGUGAGUAACACGUGGGAACGUGCCUUUAGGUUCGGAAUAACUCAGGGAAACUUGCGCUAAUACCGAAUGUGCCCUUCGGGGGAAAGAUUUAUCGCCUUUAGAGCGGCCCGCGUCUGAUUAGCUAGUUGGUUGAGGUAAUGGCUCACCAAGGCGACGAUCAGUAGCUGGUCUGAGAGGAUGAUCAGCCACAUUGGGACUGAGACACGGCCCAAACUCCUACGGGAGGCAGCAGUGGGGAAUCUUGCGCAAUGGGCGAAAGCCUGACGCAGCCAUGCCGCGUGAAUGAUGAAGGUCUUAGGAUUGUAAAAUUCUUUCACCGGGGACGAUAAUGACGGUACCCGGAGAAGAAGCCCCGGCUAACUUCGUG